AAAAAAAAGUAAUUAGGAGAGAAGUAGUAAAUUUUUUUAAAAAGGUGUAGCAGGAAGGAGGAUAAAAAAAAGGGGAAAGACAAGACAAUAAAGGAGGAAAAAGCCAACACACGCAAAACAGUCUCUCUGCAAAACCCUUCUGUUUUUCCUUUUUAAUUAAAUUUUACUCGGUGUUCAAAAAAAAAAAAAUUAAAUUAAAUUAAAUUAAAUUUUACUCUACCAAGAACAGUAAUCAUAAUUAAUAUAUAUAUUUUUUAUAAAAUAACUAACUUAAUAUGGAGGCAGAGAGAAACAGGCCAAUAUUUGUUUUUUAACUUUUUACAGAAAAAUUAUUAUCAAUUUUUUUCUAAUUGGUGGAGUAUAUGAAAUAGUUGUCAGAAGAAACGGAUAUUUGACGAAAUGGGUAUUUUGCUAAGUUGAGGAAAUUAAAAAAAGAAAAGAAA
rnacentral:lncRNA from 1 species